rnacentral:rRNA from 1 species
ACGGAAGGCAGCAGUGAGGAAUAUUGGUCAAUGGACGGAAGUCUGAACCAGCCAAGUCGCGUGAAGGAAGACGGUUCUAUGGAUUGUAAACUUCUUUUGCUCGAGGGUAAAGUGAGCCACGUGUGGCUUAUUGCAAGUAUCGAGUGAAUAAGCAUCGGCUAACUCCGUGCCAGCAGCCGCGGUAAUACGGAGGAUGCGAGCGUUAUCCGGAUUUAUUGGGUUUAAAGGGUGCGUAGGCGGGAUGUUAAGUCAGCGGUGAAAGUUUGCGGCUCAACCGUAAAAUUGCCGUUGAAACUGGCGUUCUUGAGUGUAAACGAGGUAGGCGGAAUGUAACGUGUAGCGGUGAAAUGCUUAGAUAUGUUACAGAACCCCGAUUGCGAAGGCAGCUUACCAGCAUAUGACUGACGCUGAUGCACGAAAGCGUGGGUAUCAAACAGGAUUAGAUACCCUGGUA